CCCACACAGAAGAGCAAUGGCUUCUGGAUUUCCACAGGUCCUAAAUAUCCUCCAUGGCAUCAUUUUGAGGCUGCUUCUGUUCAAGAUUUCAGGAGGCGUCUGAGGUUUCUGAUGAGGACACUGAGACUUCGCUGAAGACACUUGAUGAAGGCAUCAGGCAAGCAGCCCAGUGUGACUGGAGAGGAGGAGGGCAGGGGAAGACUGCUGAGCUGAAGCAGAAGUAUAGCAGACCACCAGUCUACCUAUCGAUCUGAUGCUAUUCAAAAAUACACACAUCGAGCCAGUUUUCUUCUAGCUCCUCCUAGGAUUCAACGGGAAUGAGUCAACAGA